GAAGUAGGAAAUACCCCUGCCAAAUUUAAGGAUGACAUCAAACCAGUGCCAUACAGAAGGUCCUGAACAGACUGAAUGAAUGAACCUUGUGAAACCGAGCAAUUUCAAAUGCCAAGUACUCGAGGGAAGGAGAAGCCCCUGCAAUGUUGUGUUAGGCACAGCACUGCUAACUGGUCAAUGAAAAUGGCUCUCCUGGACUCUGGGUCAGAAGGUUCAACUUCUACUACCAUACCACUGCCUGCUUCUGACAUCAUGGGCAACAUGACAAAAUAGGAGGUUAAUAUCAUUUAAAAAUAAUGCAGGAGAUAUUUAAAGCACAUCAGAAGUACAGAGGACUCUUUUUGCAAGUUGAUACCUUCAAAGAAUCCCAAAUCCCUCAAAAGUGAAUUAUAUGGUAUAAAUAAGAUAACCUAUGCAGCCUUAUUGAAAAAAGAAGAAAUAAACUGUCGUGUCUGCAUCUCCUUCUGUCCCGUGAAAGUCUCUGGGAAAGCUGGUGCCAUUAGUUUCAUUAUACGGAUGGUGAAGUUGAUCUUUAAUAGAUCAGUUGCUCUUCACAGAGCAGCAGCUUUUUCUCUGUUUUACCCCCUCCUCAGAAAAUCUGAGAUGUGAAUAUUUGGAUUAUGAAACAGGCUUGUGAUACAUGGACUGUAGUAAAGCAAAAUAUUUUCCAUAAAAUUUUGUUGUAUGUACUUUUAUUUUUUUUCAACAG
ensembl:lncRNA